UAGGGGAGCGUUCCGCCUUAGAGGGAAGCAACCGCGAAAGCGGGGGUCGACGAAGCGGAAGCGAGAAUGUCGGCUUGAGUAACGAAAACAUUGGUGAGAAUCCAAUGCCCCGAAAACCCAAGGUUUCCUCCGCAAGGUUCGUCCACGCAGGGUGAGUCAGGGCCUAAGAUCAGGCCGAAAGGCGUAGUCGAUGGACAACAGGUCAAUAUUCCUGUACUACCCCUUGUUGGUACGGAGGGACGGAGGAGGCUAGGUUAGCCGAAAGAUGGUUAUAGG
rnacentral:ncRNA from 1 species